rnacentral:rRNA from 1 species
GAUUUGCUCUAUGCGGGAAGAAUAACCACGGUAACCUGUGGCUAAGAGUGUAGAAUAAGGUGCAAUCCUAUUAGUUUGUUGGUAGUGUAAAGGACUACCAAGGCAGUGAUGGGUAACGGGAAAUCAGGGUUUGAUUCCGGAGAGGGAGCCUGAGAGAUGGCUCCCACGUCCAAGGAUGGCAGCAGGCGCGAAAAUUGUCCACUCUUUUGAGAGGAGACAGUUAUGAAACGUGAGUAGAAGGGUCGAGUGUAAAAACCUUGACGUGAAGCAAUUGGAGGGCAAGUUUUGGUGCCAGCAGCCGCGGUAAUUCCAACUCCAAGAGUGUCUAUGGUGGAUGCUGCAGUUAAAGGGUCCGUAGUCGUAGAUGCAAUUAAAAGGUGGUGUUAAAAGCCAUUGAGUUUGUUGAGAGUAGCGGAACGGAUAGGGAGCAUGGUAUAGGUGGGCAAAGAAUGAAAUCUCAAGACCCCACCUGGACCAACGGAGGCGAAAGCGAUGCUCUUAGACGUAUCUGGGGAUCAAGGACGAAGGCUAGAGUAUCGAAAGUGAUUAGACACCGCUGUAGUUCUAGCAGUAAACUAUGCCGACAAUGCUGGGUGUUGCGAGAGCGAUGCUUGGUGUGGGAGAAAUCUUAGUUUUCGGGCUCUGGGGAUAGUACGCUCGCAAGGGUGAAACUUAAAGCGAAAUUGACGGAAGGACACUACCAGGAGUGGAUUGUGCUGCUUAAUUUAACUCAACGCGGGAAAACUUACCAGGGUCAAGUCUAUCGUAGAUUGGAGACAUGAGGUAGACAAGAGUGGUGCAUGGCCGUUGGAAAUUGAUGGGGCGACUUUUAGCUUAAGUGCUGGAACCAGUGAGAUCUUCUAGACAGGUGUUAUUUAGGCACAGGAGGGAGAAGGCAAUAACAGGUCCGUGAUGCCCUUAGAUAUCCUGGGCAGCAAGCGCAAUACAAUAUCUCU